AAGUCCAAUGACAGAUGUAAUUAGCAAAAAGAAAAGUUAUUAUUCGUGUUAAGACAAAAGAAGCUUGUCUAUAUAUAGAGUUGCUCCCAGAUUCUCCACAUAUUCAUUCACUUAUGGGAACGUUUUGAAAGAUCCCAACCUGUUCUCAUUGUCCCAGCUGUUUUAAAUAUUCAAUGUGCCAAACAAAAGGCUGGGAUAAUGAGAAUGGUUGGAUCUUUCAAAUCUACCUAUUAAUGUUGAAGGUGGUCAUUAAGCUACACCGUUUUCACCCUCAGAAUCACUAGUUGGAUUACGGUCAAGAUUCUUGCACUUGAGAUACAGCUCAUUUGUACGUAAGAUAUUACAGUUUUUUAUGCAUGACAAAUAUAUAUGUUUCUAUUUCAUAUGUGUGAGCUACAAUGGUUAGAUAAGGUUUCUCCGGUGAAAUUUGGACUCUCUCGGAUAGAUAGCGAAUAGGUUACUACAUUUGCUGAAAGAAAAUUAGACUGUUUAUUCGAAUUCUGAAGUAAAAAAUCUUAAUAAGCUUCCGGUGACCGCAUUGUCAACUGAUAAAUUUUCUCCUCUUGUUUACAUGUUCAGAGUUCAGACAUGACAUCACCCACACACAGUUGUAGUUACGGUUACGAAUCUGGGUAAGAUAUCGAUAAAAGACCACAAACAGAGACUAAAUUGAUUUAAGUUGGCCCAUUGGUUGGCUAGUGAGGUUUAUGGCUGUUGUACACAAACAAAAUUUUCAGCUUUUCUAAUGAUGCACAUAUUUAGAGGAUGUACAGUUUGGCCUUUUACUAAGUUCAGAUGGGUACCAAGAUUGAUCCUCAAUGUUUCUGUGUGUCCAGUUAAGGAUAUGCCCACUGUUGAUAGUAGAAGACUUUCUCAUUCAUCAGUAACCAACUUGUAAUUGAUUUCUCUAAUUGAAAAUUAUGGUGGAUUUUGAGGAUAUAAUGUAGGAAUCAUGUUAUUAUACUCAGUAUCAGCAGAGUCGGGAAGGAAGGUGCUGCUGCAUUUAGGCGUCUCAAAUCAAAACUGCAAAAGGCAUUGCUUAGCUAUCACGUUUCUACGAGUACAGAUCAGGUCUGUGCCGCCAUUCAGGGUACAAAGCUUCGGAAAAUAUCAUAAAUUACCGGCCAGGUGUUUACAGUCUUCCAAUAGGAUUGGAUUCUUUUAACCCAUAUCAAGAAGCCCACGACGUGUGUCAGUCAUAAGCAAAGCAUGAGUGUUGUGCACAAUUAAGAAUCCUAAGCUUAAAGCAAACUCUGCAUUAGCAUUACCCUUUGUAAACUCCACAUGGAGCUUUGCAGGGGAUAACUGGAAGUUGGAACCGGUCAAGGACUCAAGACCAUCAUUGUACUUCAUUGCUCUAAAAGUCAAAAAGUCUUAAAUCUUUCCCAAGCUCCUGCUCUUCUUUCUUCCUUGCCAUGCUUGUGGAUCUGUCGGAGCAUUUACAAUGGAUUCUUCAUCCCUAUCCCUAUUUUCUUAUUAAAUUUAGUAAUUCCCUAAAAUUAUCUUGAUGAAUUUAAAAAUCUUCUACAUCUCAUUUCCAUCAUGUCUUACCCCAUCCCUAUAUUCAAUUUUAUAUUACUUCUUUCUCUCUCUUUCAUCUAUUAUCUAAUCAAUUACACUUAUAAACAAUAGUAAAAAAUGAAAUGAAAUGGAAUAGGUAAUGAAUAGUAAGUCCCCAAUUAUGGGGUUUUAGUUUUUGUCCCCGAAACUAAACCCCAUUUUAGGGUUUCGGAUGGAGCAACAAUUUAGACUAAAAAUUAAGAAUUUCUCUAAAUUAUAAGGAUAUGGGAAGUAUGGGGAAUCCAAUAGGAAUGCUCUGAGACCUACAAUUUACACAAUCCCCAAAUAGAUAAAUUUUAGCGGCCUCUCUACUUCCUUUUGAAAGCAGACAUAAAAUAUGCGUACAUCUUACUCUCUCCAGCCUGAUGCACGAGCACUCGAGCAAUAUACACUAUUCACAGAUUUUAUAACAAUAGUUGCCGUGACAAACCAUGGCAAAAACAGAGAUUUAUAGACAGUGGUCGUGUACUAGUAACUCAGAGAAAGUUAAAGAAUAAUUCAACUAAAUAAAACAGAACUGAAAGUUUAAAAUCUUUAUAAGAACCACCAUUAUAUGCCCUAAACCAGAAUCUCUGUUAAUAUUAGUGCAAGUUAAUUAUAUUCCUCCAAGAUGUAGGACUCCGGUUCCUACAAAUCAAGCAAUGAAGAAUGUCUGGACCAAGGUAAAUUCAGAAAUCGAUCAAUUAUCGGGAACAUAGCAUGUAAUAAUACAGAAAAUCAGAUGUGAAUCAAUCGUCAGCAAUAUAGCAUGUCAUACAAUUGUUAAAAUUAGUUGUCAGCAACGUAGCAUGCAUGUAAUUUUUAUGGAACCAUUUAUACUUAACUUACAAGAUGCAGGGGACUGGGGAGCAACAACUCUUAAUUAUCUCUCUGAAUAAGUUUAUUAAUUAUGACUUAUUAAAUAUAAAAUAGUAAAUAUAACAAUUUUUUUUAAAGUUUGGUAAACCUUCAAGUGGUACCAAACAAGCAAACGCAUUAGUCUUUAUCACAUAAAUAAUACAAUAUAUAUUCUAAAAUUGUGAAACAUACAAAUAAACUGGGAUCGUAUUUGUGAAUAAGUAGAUGAAGAUCGAAUAAGAAUAACAAAAUUGAAGAAUAUAAAGAGAUACAGAAUAUUUGUCUCCAAAGCCUAGACAAAAAUUUCCGAGAUUACAAUACAACAGCGGUGACACUUUCACCAACAUGCUUCGACACUAUUUGACAUGAGAACUAAUUAAGACGGCUGCAUCUUCUUGGUGUGUCUUUUAUAUAUGAUGAAUAAACUUGUGUACUACACUUCACAUGAUUAAUUUAAACACUUGAAUUAUUUAGUCGGUUGGAAAUUAAAUGAGUGAUCAAAUUGGAUUUAUUAAAAUUAAAUUAAAACAAUACUGGUCCGUAUUUAUAUGACCAACUUACGAGGCAUUUGUAUUCAUAAGUUGCACACUGAAAAAUUCUCUAAAUCUCGCGAAUGCUUGUGAAGCGUCGAAUUUCUUCGUAAAAAGCCCACACAAGCGUCUUGUCUUGUUAAAGUUAUGGAUUUGUGUCACUCAUAUACAUUUUAUUAUUCUUUUGAUGAUUUAGAAUUAUAUACUAUAAUAUUUUUCAAAAUGGAUUAGAAUCGAACUGUACGAAGGAUACGCCCAGUAAGGUGACCAACUUUAAACAAUUAUAUAUCACUGAUUUCUUAAUCAUUUUGAAUAAUUAAAUGUAUUGAAGCAUCACUCAUCCUGACACAACAAUUACCUAUUCUUUUCUUCUUUUUUUUGACACGAACAGUUAUCUAUUCAGCAGAGGGUUCUUAAAAUUCUCUAGAAGUUAGUAUGGUAUGAUUAGCAACUUUCAGACCAAAUCAAAAAAUUCAAACUUGGAAGUAGAUAUCAUAGAAGUUAAAAUAUGAAAUUUUCGUUUACAAAAUUUCAGAAUUAGAUGAUCAAUACAUCUUAAAUUACGUGUUUAAAGUUAACUAGCUUAUUUAAUGAGAUGGAGGGGGUAUUUCACAAAAUUUACAGGGCAUCUUUUGCCUGAUUACGGAAACCUCAAAUUCAGUCAAUAGUCGUCAGUUAUAAUUCCUUAUUAGUUCAUAACUUCGAAUUCAAGGCUUUCUCAGACUUUGUACAUGAAAUGCCUUUAUACUGGUAGUUUAUUCCUCAAUAUUUAUUUAGCUAAAUAUGAUCGAAUUUUUUCGUCCAAAUUACCUGAUACUGUAAUAGUGAAACUCUAUUAUCAAUACUAAAAAAAUUUGCAUUUACCAGCUACCCUUUAGUUAAAAGUAGUUGUUUUUCUGAUUCUAAAUGUUGCAGAUGAUAUGCAGGGUUACACCCUACCUUUGAAUCUAAAGAUAAUAAAUUAGAUAUUUCUGAAAAAAGUCUUAAAUUUAUCAAGAAUCAUAAAAGCCAACAAGGUCAGCAUAUUACUGCACAGCCUGUUAAUGCACAUGACUCUUCUUUUCUGGAACGCAGGGACCAUCCAUCCGAAAAUAGCUAGCUGAUACGAAACCCUAAAAACUGGUUGGUU